rnacentral:rRNA from 1 species
ACGGGGUAGGAAUACCUCGGUGACGUACCCCCCGGUCGGGGAUAGCGGCGGGAAACUGCCGGUAAUACCCGAUGAUCUUCCUAGGUUUUAUUCCAGGGAAGCAAAGGUGUGAUUCCGUCGGGGGAGCGGCUGAGGUCGUAUUAGCUUGUUGGUGGGGUAACGGCCUACCAAGGCGAUGAUGCGUAGGGGGUGUGAGAGCAUGGCCCCCACCACUGGCACUGAGACACUGGCCAGACACCUACGGGUGGCUGCAGUCGAGAAUCUUCGGCAAUGGGCGAAAGCCUGACCGAGCGACGCCGCGUGCGGGAUGAAGGUCUUCGGAUUGUAAACCGCUGUCGGAGGGGAUGAAAUGCAUGGGGGUACUCCCCUGUGUUUGACAGAGCCUCGGAGGAAGCACGGGCUAAGUUCGUGCCAGCAGCCGCGGUAAUACGAACUGUGCGAACGUUAUUCGGAAUCACUGGGCUUAAAGGGUGCGUAGGCGGCGGCUCAAGUCAGGUGUGAAAUCCCCCGGCUCAACCGGGGAACAGCGCUUGAAACUAGGUCGCUCGAGUGAGGCAGGGGUGUAUGGAACUUCCGGUGGAGCGG